ensembl:lncRNA
AUGCAAAACUACUCUGUGAUUCAUCCUCCAGCAUCUCAGGCAGCAGCCAUGAGAGAAGGAGAAGGCCCCUCAGAGACCAAAUCCUCACAGGAGCCUUUUCUCUCCCACUUGCAGGGCGACAGAGGCGGCCCCCUCAUGUGCCGGGAGCAGAGGUCCGAACGCUACUGGGUGGUUGGAAUCGCCAGCUGGGGACCGUCUGUCUGCGGCCAGGGAAAAAGGCCGGGGGUCUACACCUCCACACAGUUCUACCGCGACUGGAUCAGGAAGAUGACCAAUGAGGACCUUUCACUACCCAACCACCCACCGCCAAUGGCACAGCCCCAGCUUAUGCGACUGCCACACCCCCCUCCAAGGCCACAGCUCCAAAUGCGACAAAAUGGGAAUGUGCCAUAUCCCAGGCCUUGGCCACCCCCCAACGCCAGCCCUCAGAUCCCUCCUGUGGUCUGGUCCACCACCAGACUUUGGCCACCCCCCAAUGCCACCCCUCAGAACCCUCCUGUGGUCUGGCCCACCACCAGACCAUGGCCACCCCCCACGACCACCCCCCAGACCCGUCCUGUGGUCUGGCCCACCACCAGACCAUGGCCACCCCCCAACAUUACCCCCCAGACCCCUCCUGUGGUCUGGCCCACCACCAGACCAUGGCCACCCCCCAAGGCCAUUCCCCAGACCCCUCCUGUGGUCUGGCCCACCACCAGACCUUGGCCACCCCCCACGACCACCCCCCAGACCCCUCCUGUGGUCUGGCCCACCACCAGACCAUGGCCACCCCCCAACACUACCCCCCAGACCCCUCCUGUGGUCUGGCCCACCACCAGACCAUGGCCACCCCCCAACACUACCCCCCAGACCCCUCCUGUGGUCUGGCCCACCACCAGACCUUGGCCACCCCCCACGACCACCCCCCAGACCCCUCCUGUGGUCUGGCCCACCACCAGACCUUGGCCACCCCCCACGACCACCCCCCAGACCCCUCCUGUGGUCUGGUCCACCACCAGACCUUGGCCACCCCCCACGACCACCCCCCAGACCCCUCCUGCGGUCUGGCCCACCACCGGACCAUGGCCACCCCCCACCACCACCACCCAGGCUCCUCCAGCAUCCUGGUACACGACCAGACCUUUGCCACCCCCUGAGACCACCCCUCAGACGCCUCCUGUGGUCUACCCCACAACCAGACCUUGGCCACCCCCCAGCACCACCCCCCAGACCCUUCCCAUGUCUCGGUCCACCCCCAGAGCCAACUCCCAUCCCACACGGUGGCCCAAAGGAGGGGGUCCCAGUCCCGUUAUAUCGGACAUGGCUCCUGGAACAAGGCCCACGGGACCGGGCAACUCGACUCCCUCCCGGGGCCCAAUCUGGGGCCUAACGUCCAUGCGGUUGGGAAGAUUGCAUCUGAGGACAAGGGCCCCAGCUUGGCAUGGGCAGAUUUACAGGCCGUGGGUCUCGAUUCGAAGGCCGUGGGUCACGAUUCGCACAGCCCCACCACAGAUUGAGUCGAGGUUGCUGAAGCCGCUGCAAAGGCAAGUUCCGGCACCACCCGGGAGCCAAAUGGAAGUGGCCCCUAGCUCAGCCGAGGGCUGA